AGAAUCAACGCUGGCGGCGUGCCUAACACAUGCAAGUCGCACGAGAAAGGGGAGCAAUCCCUGAGUACAGUGGCGCACGGGUGAGUAACACGUGAAUAAUCUACCUCCGAGUGGGGAAUAACUGAGAGAAAUCUUAGCUAAUACCGCAUAAUACCCACGGGUCAAAGCAGCAAUGCGCUUGGAGAGGAGUUCGCGGCAGAUUAGUUAGUUGGCGGGGUAAUGGCCCACCAAGACGAUGAUCUGUAUCCGGCCUGAGAGGGCGCACGGACACACUGGAACUGAAACACGGUCCAGACUCCUACGGGAGGCAGCAGUGGGGAAUUUUGCGCAAUGGGGGAAACCCUGACGCAGCAACGCCGCGUGGAGGGAUGAAGCCCCUUGGGGUGUAAACUCCUUUCGAUCGGGAAGAUAAUGACGGUACCGAUAUAGAAGCCCGGCUAACUUCGUGCCAGCAGCCGC
rnacentral:rRNA from 1 species